rnacentral:rRNA from 1 species
CCUACGGGAGGCAGCAGUGGGGAAUAUUGGGCAAUGGGCGCAAGCCUGACCCAGCAACGCCGCGUGAAGGAAGAAGGCUUUCGGGUUGUAAACUUCUUUUCUCAGGGACGAAGAAAGUGACGGUACCUGAGGAAUAAGCCACGGCUAACUACGUGCCAGCAGCCGCGGUAAUACGUAGGUGGCAAGCGUUAUCCGUAUUUACUGGGUGUAAAGGGCGUGUAGGCGGGACUGCAAGUCAGAUGUGAAAACCACGGGCUCAACCUGUGGCCUGCAUUUGAAACUGUAGUUCUUGAGUACUGGAGGGGCAGGCGGAAUUCCUAGUGUAGCGGUGAAAUGCGUAGAUAUUAGGAGGAACACCAGUGGCGAAGGCGGCCUGCUGGACAGAAACUGACGUUGAGGCUCGAAAGCGUGGGGAGCAAACAGGAUUAGAUACCCGAGUAGUC